rnacentral:rRNA from 1 species
AUUGAACGCUGGCGGCAGGCCUAACACAUGCAAGUCGAGCGAGCGGCGGACGGGUGAGUAAUGUAUGGGGACUGCCCGAUAGAGGGGGAUAACUACUGGAAACGGUAGCUAAUACCGCAUACUAUCGGAUAACCCAUAUUGGAUGAGCUAGUAGGUGGGGUAAUGGCUUACCUAGGCGACGAUCGCUAGCUGGUCUGAGAGGAUGAUCCGCCACACUGGGACUGAGAAACUGCCCAGACUCCUACGGAGGCAGCAGUGGGGAAUAUUGCACAAGGGGCGCAAGCCUGAUGCAGCCAUGCCGCGUGUAUUAAGAAGGCCCUAGGGUUGUAAACCUCUUUCGAUAUCGAACGGGUAGGUGGAGAAGAAGCGCCGGCUAACUACGUGCCAGCAGCCGCGGUAAUAC